UACAGAGGGUGCAAGCGUUAAUCGGAAUUACUGGGCGUAAAGCGUGCGUAGACGGUUAUGUAAGUCGGGUGUGAAAGCCCCGGGCUCAACCUGGGAAUGCCAUUCGAGACUGCAUAGCUAGGGUGCGGAAGAGGGAAGCGGAAUUUCCGGUGUGAGCGGUGAAAUGCGUAGAUAUCGGAAGGAACACCAGUGGCGAAAGCGGCUUCCUGGUCCAGCACCGACGUCAGGCACGAAAGCGUGGGGAGCAAACAGG
rnacentral:rRNA from 1 species